rnacentral:lncRNA from 1 species
UUUUUUUGUUUCUUUUUUUCUUUUUCUUUCUUUCUUUUAACUUACCAGACUCUAUAAAGUUUUGUUCCACUCAGUAGUAAAAUAGUAUAGUACUUAUUCUAUCACAAUUGUAAUCAUGGUAAAUGCCUUUCAGAUACCAAACUCCAAGUAUGUUUAAGAGUAUGUUUAACAUGAUUACCAUUGUGAUCGAAUGAGUACCAUACUAUUUCACCACUGAAUAAAACAAAGACUGAUAGAGUCUAAUCAACUCAAAGAAAGAAAAAGAAAGAAAGUGUGUGUGUGGGAAGAUAGAUAGAUGAUAGAUAGAUAGAUAGAUAGAUAGAUAGAUAGAUAGAUGGACUGACCUGUUUAAUUACAACAAUAUGCAGCCUUGCAAAAUGAGACAUCAUCCACCUUUUAAAAAUUAAGGCAGUUCGGGGUCCAUGGCUAUUAAAUCAAGUUUCUACAGCUAGCACAUUCACAGCAGAGAUUCAAUCCUGGGUCAGCCUUAUCGCAAAGCCUAUAAUCUUUCCAUUUGUCAAAAUCACCUCACUACACCCAGAAAAUGUGACAGAUUUUAGGGAAAAGCCUCUAUCUUAUUAAUCAAUGUCUGUCUGGGGUUCACCCUGUAUACUAGGCUUCAUACAGACUGACUAACUGAAGUUCAGAGACAUUUACUGAUAGAAAAAGAGACUCUCAUAUAUAUUGUAGGAUAGAUUUGAAGUGUUCAGGUGGCUGAGCAUUCAGGCUAAUGGUUUCAAUUGCUGGUCUAUGAGCAAGAUUGGAUAGAAACUUUCUUAUAUUUGAAAACUGUUCAAGAAAAAUCAUUCUGUUUUUUUUGUUUUCCAUGCUCAGUCUUCCUUGAAACUUAAAAGUAUAGGAAGGUAUGACAUAGCCUGUUAGCAUUUUCUCUGUUUCUGUUAGUUCUUUCCACUAGAGAAAUAUUCAGUAAGUUAUUAUUUACUGGGCAAAUAUCAUGUGUGAGAUAUUUUGCAUACAUUCACAAUACUCUAAUUGUUUGGAACUUUAUAGUUUAUGAAUGGUAGCGAAGUUUUAUAUGCUAUAAAAACCUAGGCACUCUGUCAUAUUUUCACAUCAAGAUCUAUAACUAUUUUUUCCUUCUUCUUGCAUUGGGCAAACCCAGUUUCCUUUCAUAUCCUUAGGAAUCCCAACUUGAGGAAUAUUAAAAUUCACUAUGUCUUCUAUGAAUAAAGUGAUAUUAAAAAUAAUCCCUUGAUAGUCAACUCAAAUGACCCCCUCCCAACUCUACAACUAGCAGAUAGAGAUAAAUGCUAAGAAAUUCAUACAACUUCAUAUUACAUAAUAUUUCAUACCAAAUGAUACUUACUUGUCAUUCUGCUUUGGUUCACAUAGUAAUGUAUUUUUUAUACUUUAUAUAGUAAAUGUUCCUAUAAAAGAUUUCAAAAUAAUAUCUUCCAAAAGAAACCCCAAAAUAAUAUCUUCCAAAAGACAAAACAAUACAAAUAUAGUAUUUAAUACUAUACGCAAUAAAGUAGCAUAUAAAAACACUAUUAUUUACAAAUGGCAGAACAUAGAUGUUGGUAACAAGCACCUCAAAUAAAGACUUUAUUUUUUCAUUGUUUAUUUAUUUUUAAAAGAUUUUAUUUAUUUAUUCAUGAGAGACACAAAGAGAGAAAAGCAGAGACACAGGCAGAGGGAGAAGCAGGCUCCAUGCAGGGAGCCUGAGGUGGGACUCAAUCUUGGGACUCCAGGAUCACAUCCUAAGCCAAAGGCAUAUGCUCAACUGCUGAUCUACCCAGACGUCCCAUAAAUAUUUUAUUAUUCAAUAACAAUUUUGGAAGGAACUGUUCGAUCUUCCUUACUGACAGUUAAAAAUUGUACAUUCUCAUUGAUUUUGACACACUGCCCCUGAAAGACUAUUAUGGACAUUCCAGUUGUUUAAUAAUUAUUUCAAAUAUUCACCCAAAAUAAUCUUCAUGGAACUUCCCCAUUAUUUUAAAUGGUCAGUUCUGGACACAUAAUAAGUAGCAGUGAACAUACAUAAUGCAUAAGAGCAACUGUGCAUGAGAAGGUUCUUUUAUUUUUUUUCUGAAUUUUGAUGUAAUUGUCAAGACCAUUAGGAUAAAAAAUAAAUUACCAUUUUUGAAGUUGGGAGAACAUAUCACUAUUUUUAUCAGCUGUAGUACUCAAUGAUUGCACAUGUUGAUAAUAAGAAAUAGAGUUUUUUUUUUUUUUCCAACAGAUGAUAAGAAUUCUGCCAAUUCUGAAAAUCUAUAACCCUAGAGCCACUCGGACUCUAAUGGAA